rnacentral:misc_RNA from 1 species
AGAGAAAAAGAAGGAAUAACAAAAGUUGGUGAGAUUUUUUACUCGCUACUUAUCUAUACUUUCAAUAUAUUUACAGUCAUUUAACUGAAAGAUCGUUAAUCCUUAAAUUUAGAAAAUAUUGUUAGUUCGUUCUGAUGUUUAUUUUUUUAAAUUAUACGGUUUUUUAAUGAUUUUUAUUGGGUUAUGCGGACUGUUUUUUUAUAUCAAAUAGUCUCGUAGCUCAGUUGGUUAGAGCACUACACUGAUAAUGUAGGGGUCGGCGGUUCAAAUCCGCCCGAGACUACUGAUCACUUAAUGAAGUGACAGUUAAAAUUUUACUGGGGGAUUAGCUCAGCUGGCUAGAGCGCCUGCCUUGCACGCAGGAGGUCAUCGGUUCGACUCCGAUAUUCUCCACACAAAACGUUCUUUGAAGUAUUGGUAAACAUAGAAAGAUUAACAAGUAGAAAUUACAA